rnacentral:misc_RNA from 1 species
AGCAAGGGCUAGUAUUGCAGCAGUUGCGAUGUUGUGGAGUCCUAGAGGUUGUUCGUAUAUCAAGGUCUGGAUUUCCUACUAGAAUGUCACACCAAAAGUUCGCCAAAAGAUAUGGUUUUCUUCUGCUGGAAAGUGUUGCAUCUCAAGAUCCACUCAGUGUUUCAGUUGCAAUUCUUCACCAGUUCAAUAUAUUGCCUGAGAUGUAUCAAGUUGGCUACACAAAAUUGUUUUUCCGAACCGGACAGAUUGGUGUGCUUGAAGAUACAAGGAACCGGACCCUUCAUAGUAUUUUACGUGUUCAAAGCUGUUUCAGAGGGCACCAAGCUCGCCGUUACCUUAGUGAGCUUAGGAGAGGAAUUGCCACUCUUCAGUCAUUUGUUCGGGGAGAGAAAAUCAGAAUGGAAUAUGCGGUCUUGCUACAGAGACAUAGAGCUGCUGUUGUUAUGCAAAGGCAAAUAAAAAGCACUCUGUCUAUGAAAAGAUACAAGGAAAUCCAUGCGGCGUCGAUUAUAAUACAAUCAGUUGUUCGUGGAUUGUUGGUUAGAAGAUGUUCAGGCAAUAUAGGAUUAUUGACAGCUGGGGGCACCAAGGGGAAUGAGUCGGAUGAGGUGCUGGUGAAAGCAUCAUUUCUUGCUGAAUUACAGCGACGAAUUCUGAAAGCUGAGGCUGCUUUUCGAGAAAAAGAAGAGGAGAAUGACAUCCUCCACCAACGCCUCCAACAAUAUGAGAGCCGUUGGUCUGAAUAUGAGUUGAAAAUGAAGUCC